UCUUUACAAUGGACGUCUAGGAGCUUAUAUAAUGCUCAGAGACAAAGGUCCUAACGUUCUAAAACAAAUAGAAAAGGAAACAAAUCAAAACUAAGAAAGAAAUCGAAAACUAGCCGUUGGAGCCUUUUGUGGGAUUUUGGCUCCAAGUAAAGAAUCUGAUCUUUCUUGAACCUGGAUGGUUUAAGGGGAUAAGAGAGCUUUCUUGGGACCUUCUUGAAUGCUUGAUAGAUGCUUAUCUCGUCCUUUCCUUGGUAGAAAAAGAGCUGUUGGAGUUUGAAUGCAAGAGACUCCAAAUAAGGCAGUUCGGUGAUAAUGGGGAUCUUCUUAUUCCUAUGUGGGCUGGUGCAUGGGAUGAAGUUGUAGAACUCUUCUGGCUCGUGUAUAAUGUCUCCUGGAUGUCUUGGUUUA
rnacentral:lncRNA from 1 species